CUGUCGCUGGGGAGAAAUUCAGCUUGGGGGAAAGCGCCGCGAAGUAUAAUUUUAAAUAAAGUAAAACAUUAUAAAUAAUCAAAUAUUGAUUAUUAUUUAUAAGUGUAGUUAUUCUUUAACUUAUAAUUUGAUUAUAAUUUGAUUAGGUAUUUAACUGCUUUUUUUAUGUAUAAUUAGUUUCGACUAACCCAUCUGAGUAACAUCUCAAAAGUCAUAGCA
rnacentral:rRNA from 1 species